rnacentral:lncRNA from 1 species
CUCAAACACCCCAGGAGAUUCUAUUAUGCAGCCAGAGUUGAGAAUCACUGCUUUGGAAAGAUUUCAAGGGCUGAUUUCAUUAAUUCUCCCAUGUUUUGGAGCCCUAUAUAGUCCUACCUGUAAAAUUGGAUCCUUUCUUCCAUCUCUUUAAAAAGCAUAUGUAUAUAUGCAUGCAUGCUAAGUCACUUAUGUUGUAUUUGACUCCUUGUGACCCUAUGGACCAUAGCCUGCUAGGCUUCUCUGUCCAUGGGAUUCCUUAAGCAAGAAUACUGGAGUGGGUUCACAAAGAGUCGGACACAACUGAGCAACUAACACACACACACACACACACACACACACACACACACUUGCAAUGGCUGGGUCACACCUGAGACCACUUACAUUGGACUCUGAGGGUAGAAACAAAAUUUAGUGGGUUUUUGAUGUUCUCCAGAUAAUUCUACUGUGCAGCCAAGUUUGAGAACCAAGUGCUCUACUAGAAUGACCAAUGGCUGCACCUGGAAUCCCUUGGCAGUUUUGGGGUGGCCCAGAACUGCAUGGUCAACAGCUCUGUGAAGGACACUUCACGCCUUCCACUGUGCUAAGAAGCCCACGAGCUGGUGCUGCAUUGCCCUGUGCUGGCAGCUGAAACCGUCCUGCUUGUGAAGUCACAGUGGGUCAGGAUAAUACUGGGGAUGGAGGGGAAGAAAAGGAUGAAAAGCUUCCUGUCGGGUAAGCACUUUCCUACUUCCCUUCCUCUGGAUGAAUAUAAAUGUAGCUGCUUUUCUGAUAGCUUAAUGAAUUAUCUUUCGUUACCAGUCUGCAGUAUUUGGUGAUUGGCAUUAAUGUGGGGGUGGGCAUAGCAAGGGACUGUAGUUUAAAGCGAUAAGACCAGGUGGUGUUGAAUCACAGAGAAGAUGUAUUCUUACAAAAUACUCUGGCUUAGUCUAUAAGAAGAAUAUUUCAAUAUAGCAAUUCUCUUAUAUGAUAUCAUUCAGCUGCAUGGCUCCAAUCGCGCUUACUUGAAUUGUUUCCUAUCCGUCCUAGUUCAUAAAGCCUUCCUUUCUCUUACUAACUGGCUGGUUCAUUGAAGCCUCAUGUUGGGAUGGAUUCCUUAUGUGCACAGUGCCUGUGAGCUUUUGUUCUGAAUAUUGCUGUGUUUGAGCGGCCAGUGCG